rnacentral:rRNA from 1 species
CGGGAGGCAGCAGCCAGGAAUCUUGGGCAAUGGGCGCAAGCCUGACCCAGCAACACCGUGUGGGCGAUGAAGGCCUUCGGGUCGUAAAGCCCUGUUGAUAGGGACGAAGGGCGAAGGGUUAAUAGCCCCUAGCCUGACGGUACCUUUCGAGGAAGCCCCGGCUAACUACGUGCCAGCAGCCGCGGUAAUACGUAGGGGGCGAGCGUUGUCCGGAAUUAUUGGGCGUAAAGAGCGUGUAGGCGGUUCGGUAAGUCUGCCGUGAAAACCUGAGGCUCAACCUCGGGCGUGCGGUGGAUACUGCCGGGCUAGAGGACGGUAGAGGCGAGUGGAAUUCCCGGUGUAGCGGUGAAAUGCGCAGAUAUCGGGAGGAACACCAGUAGCGAAGGCGGCUCGCUGGACCGUUCCUGACGCUGAGACGCGAAAGCUAGGGGAGCGAACAGGAUUAGAUACCCUGGUAGUCCUAGCCGUAAACGAUGGACACUAGGUGUGGGGGGAGUCGAAUCCCUCUGUGCCGAAGCCAACGCGUUAAGUGUCCCGCCUGGGGAGUACGGCCGCAAGGCUAAAACUCAAAGGAAUUGACGGA